GUAUAUGGAAUAUAUCAUCUACUACAAAUCAAGGCAAAAUAAAGCUCCAGAGAGGUGAGCCAGACACCAGCACCAGCACUUUCAUGCUUGAGAGGGGUUGAGAAGAAGAGCCAGGGUGCACUGUAGGUGUCUGCAGACUGAGGAUUGAAGAGCAGGAGUGAAAGACCUCCCUCUUUGGCCUGGGACCAAAGAGUAUGAGCAGUGUCUUCAUCUUCCCAGAAGAAGCUUGUGCAAUGUGUCGCUGUCAGAGAAAGUAGAUUUGGAUACAAAAACAUGCACUGAGAUAAGAAAGGGAUUUCUAGAUCUUCAGAAUGGCCAGAUAGAAGGUCACAGGGCCUGAGUUUCUUCUCAGGCUAUGGAUAUUGAAAAUUGAUGUUGAAGAUUUUCAGAGAGAAUCGUGUGUGGAGUUUCUGGACAACAAAUAUUUUCCUCCCUCCGUCCCUUCUUCCUUCUUUUCUUCUUUUGAUGGUGUUAGGGUGGAAACCAGGGCCUCAAUCAUGGUAAGCAAAGCAUCUACCACUGAGCUACACCCUAUUCCAAGCACCAUUUUCUGAGAGUGAGAAGAGAAUCUUCCUUUCUGCUCUGGCAGGGGUGAAAAUUGGGUUCUUAAGAGAUGGGUGGUCUUUUUUUCUUUUUUUUUUUCCUUCUGACUCUAGGGGUCUUAUCUUUAAAGCUCUUCAUUUGACAAACUGCCCCCCACCCUUUCAUUCCUACAGCAGAAGGGAAAAAAUUCCUGGUUGCUCCCCAAGGGAGGGCCAAUGAGCACCCCCUGCUCUCUCUUGCUUGUGCCACAGAUGAAAGUCACAGCAGGAAGAUGAGCAGCUUUUUCUCAGAGGGAAGCUUGCGGUAAAGAGUCGGGCAGCCUCCGGACCUAUGGAUCUGUGUGUGUCUUGAACCUUUCCUGGAGAGGUCACUGGCAGCAAGAUAAGAAGCACCUCAGUUCUCCUGGUUGCUGUCAGGGUUGUAUUAACUUGCAGACUUGCAGGAUGGCAGCUGCAAAUCCAUCCAUCAUACCUGUCCCUGCGUGUGCACAUCAGAGAGUCACAGACAUGGAAAACACCCACUGGGAGUCACAGGUGAGUCAAGCUGUUUUCUUCUUUUUCUUUUUUUUUUUAAUUAGCACAGGUUUCCA
rnacentral:lncRNA from 1 species